UACGAAGGGUGCAAGCGUUACUCGGAAUUACUGGGCGUAAAGGGUGCGUAGGCGGCGGGGUAAGUCUGAUGUGAAAUCCCGGGGCUCAACCCUGGAACUGCAUUGGAUACUGCCUUGCUUGAGAACUGGAGAGGAGACUGGAAUUUACGGUGUAGCAGUGAAAUGCGUAGAGAUCGUAAGGAAGACCAGUGGCGAAGGCGAGUCUCUGGACAGUAUCUGACGCUGAGGCACGAAGGCCAGGGGAGCAAACGGGG
rnacentral:rRNA from 1 species